GUAGCUCAUAACCGGAUAUGACCCGUCUCAAGUAAAAAUUUGCAGCUCAAAGGAAUGAAUGCAAUUUGUUUUAGAAAACAUGUUUUAAACUGGUUGUUAUUAAUUACGCCGGAUAUGUUAUAAUAAUUCAUGAGAGUCUCGUACUACUGCCAGAGCAGUUACAGGAAAUCACUAAACACAACACACAGAAAAAGGUAAACCCAAUAUCCUCUGAACAUGACCGGAUACUAGGAUUAUCGUUUCCUUGAUGAAGUUUUCCUCAGAUUCCCUCACUACCUAAAACACACAGAAAUCAAAGAUAAAAUGGUCGGUCACAAUGUCAUUGGACAAACUUGUUGUUUCUAUGAGUAUGUUUAUAUACCCCCUCUUUCUGCUUCUCUCAUGACGGUCUGCCAUGUUGGACAACAUCUGUUCUUUCCUUUCUUCUUCUUCUCAUUUCCUCAAUCCUUCUCAUUUUCUAAACAAAACAGAAGAUCAAAGAUGAUGACAAGAUAAAUUGCUUCGUACGUCGUCUCCCCCUCAAGAAUUUGAAUUUUUUUGUAUUACCUCUUUACGCAGCUCCUCACGUGCUGGUUCGUGGUCAGUUAUAUAAGGACCUUAAAACAAAUCACAAAAUAAAGCUGACUGAUUUAUUUAUCCGAUGAAGAAUAUUAGAAUUUAAAAAACCCCAAAAAAAACAUAUCUGGCUCUCGCUCUCCAUACCCAUGAAAUAUCCCAUAGCCGCUGCUGUUCCAUGAAUUAACAACCGCACUGCAAGUCCAUCCGACCCUAUAUAAAUCACAAAAUCAAUAUACAGACUAGAGAAUAUUUUGAUGGAUAAGAAAUCAGAUAACGACGUUACCAGAAGUGCUACCAGGCGGUGAAGAGAAAUUGCGAGACCCCAUGGAUGAUCCCCCUCCGCGGUAAACCUGCGCAAAGACGGAUCUCAGACUCUGCAUAUUUGUAAAGAAAUUAGGGUUCGCUCUCCUCGUCUCUGAUUUUGGUCUUCAUUAAAUUUAAAUUAAUAUUGUCUUUCAUACAUCAAAUGGGCCUGUCGUUUUCU
rnacentral:lncRNA from 1 species